UAAUUUUUCAAGCACCAAAAAUGCCACAAAGAGUGCUUCAGGUAAAUGCCAAUGAGGAGCACUUGAGGAGCAUACAGAAGCCCCACGAAAGAGGAAUUGCUAUCAAAGGUAAAACUCAAUGGUUUAGUAACAGUCUGGAAGCUGCAGCUUCUACAAAGAAAAGGUGGAUUUGGGACAAACAAAAGUACGUGAAGGAGAAAGGGAAUUUCUGACCAUACUUUCUCCCACACACAUCCUGACCUUCUUUUUACCCCUUUCUCUCCUCCCACUCCAGCCCUCAUCCUCUUGCCCUUUUGUAAAAUCCAAAAUAGCAUUGAUCGUGUUACUACUACUGAUCAUUUGUCAAAGAUUUGUCUCCUCCCUCUUGGUAUGAGCUAAUCUUUCCCAGCAAGCCUUCUGGGGAGAUGAGUCAGUGGCACAAAGAACUGACAGAUUGGAUGUGGUAUUUAUUUUCUUCUGCUUUUUUCAAGCAUGGCAGUAUCCCACAUCUACAAGCAAACAGGGAGCAGUAAGAAAACAUACUGCAGCUGGGAGCUCUAAGGAUAAUGUCUGCAAAAUCUGCAGCUUCCAAUUUGCCACCUUAAUGCUGCCCCUGGUGCUGCUGUUGCCCUGUGGUUCUUGUCAACGAGCAAACUAGCUGCGGAGCUGCUGCUGCUCAGACUGGGCUCACUGCAUCCUCUGACUAUGCUCACAAGUAGCUCUCUUCCAUGGAAGGAUGAGAAAUCCUCUUUUGAAUUUGGACAAAACAUCAAGGCGUUUUGUCAAGCAGUAAUUUUGUUUUGCUCAGUCUAUGUGCUUUUCUAAUUAAGUUCUUAUACAGCAGAAAACUGGAAUCCUGCAUUUGAAAGAGAGCAUACCAGGUAGCAGAAUUUUCACCAUCAUCACUCAGUCUAGCUUUCAUAAACUUAAGUACUCUUUUUGACACCAGGCUGAUGUUUGUGCAGAUGGCAAGGAAAUUUUACAGUCCAUUUAUUUCAUCCCUGAUGGAUACAGUUAAUGCUCACUGUUAACAAUGGAACACACACACAUACAUAUACAAACAGACAUGCAUAUACAGCCAUGCUAAGAAAAUACUUCUGACGUUCUAAUAAGGAAUUAAAUUGGCAAAGGCAGAUUCCUGGCCUCAGCAGACACUAGAAGUUCAUCCCCAGAACUGUGUAUUGGCUGACAUUAGGAAAAGUUGUGCGCUGUGAAUAACCAAGCAAUGCCUCCAGGAUUAGUAUGUCUGGAAAAUCAGUUUCUCUGUGUCUUUCUUCAUGCUUACCAAAAUACACCUGCUCACUUGUACUACUUAGCUUUAAACACAGCCAUUUGGGUGGCCAUAUUCAGUUUGGGUACUGUGGAUGCUCACUAUUUGCCACAUAAACCCAAUACAUUGCGGCACAAGGAUCUGUCCUUACAGGCCUCAGGUUCUCUUGUCAGAAAUACGCUUGUCAUUUUAAAAGUAUGUUCAAUGCAUUCCAUUUCAGAACCAGGCAGUAUUUUUUUCCUCUCAAGACUGGAUUUAAAACAAAUUCCCAGCACUAAGGAAGGAGGAGAUGACAGGGAGAGGAACACACAGCUGGGACCCGCCUCUCUGUAGUACACCCCCAGCUUCCAGUCAAAGCACUGCUUUGUAAUACAGCUUGGGGAAAGAGGGAAGAAGGAAGAAGAGAAUAAACAUAUUUGAAGACCGAUGACUCAGACUAUCUAGAGAAUGCGCUUAAAGCAAGUUUGCUUUGUCAAUGGCAGGGCCCUGCUGUUUGCUUUACCCCUUUUAGGCUGGGUCACCCUGAUUCUUUUUUGUCAUUUAAUGGUGACAUAACUAAGUGGCCAGGAGGAAGCUGUCUCAUCUAUCAUAAAAGCACUGUGCAGUAAUCAUAGGUGGCUACCGUUCAAGACAAAGCCAAGAAGUCCACUUUCAAGAAUGUGCUGGGCUGUCAUUCUGAAGAACACAUUUAUUAGCAAACUCCUGUUUUUAUAAGCCACAAAUCAAGACACAGCUCCCUUCAGUGUGUGACUGGCUUUAUGAAUCAUGAGCCCUGCGGUGCAUUGCCAUGAGAUGUUGUUUUAGAAAUAAAAUUGUUUGUUCAACACCAGAACACCCCAGUUCAGCCUUCUCUUUCCACAACUGCUGCUUAGACUCAAACCAGAUGAAAUGGCUCUGGAAUUACACAUGCAUUUACUGUCCUCUUAGUACCUAUCAGACUUGUAUAAAAGCAUCAUGGUGGGUUUCUGACAUCCGCUUAAUUAAGCAACAUUUUCCUCUCAAUAUCUGGCUGCUUUGCAAAACUAGGCAGAUAAGUAAAACAGGUCCAGCACAGUCAGUCAUGUGACAUUUAAAAUUUUUGGGGGGUAGGUAGAGGUUUGCCAGAUAUCACUUAUUUAAAAGCAGGGAAAAAAAAAACCAACCACAAAACAAUGGCUAGCUCUGUACCAAACCACAGGUCAACAGAUUUCAAUGGUCCAAGGUUAAAAUUGGCCUCCAGCUAGCUGCACAGACUUAUCCCACAGGUAUUAAACAGGAAACUUCUAAAGCUUAAAAAUAGUUACAGUUAUGCGACUUACUCUUGUAAAAGGAUUUUUAUCAUGUACAUGAAGACUAAAAGCUUUCCCCCUUUGAAAUGUUAUUUCUAUUUGACACUUCCUCUACAGCACAGCAAGUCCAUCCAUGUUUCUCUCUCUUGCACAGGCUGUGGGUUGAGUUUUGUUUUGCUAUUUUGUCCUUUUUUCUUUCACAAAUCAAGCUGUCAGCGGCACGGGAAGUAAAUCUGUAAAUGGGACACGUAAGAGCUCUGUUCUGAGACUGCAUUGCUGCCCCCAGUAAAGUCACCCUUGGAAACAAGAGCACUUGAGAAUAUUUCAGCACACAGUGAAAGGCUUUUUGCUAUGGUUUAUUUAGCUGAAAAACGAAAAGCAUAUUUCAAGUAAAAAGCCCCAGAGAUUAGAGAUGGUAGAAGUAUGUGGUCUCUGCCGAUCUUCCUGCUAUUGCAGGCCACAACCUCUAAAGAGCACUGUGGGUGAAAAUCCGCUUUGGUGAGGACAACUCUUUUGGCCUGGCAGAUAAGUCUAGUUUCCUUGGACUGAUAUGAAAGCCAAACAACAAUCUGUGCUCCUUUAUGGCUACCACAACCACGCCCAAAGCUAAGAGAGCCCAGCCCAAGACCGAAGAGCCAAGCUGAGAUGAGCAGCUACCCGUGCGGCUCCAGCCAGCUGCCAUCUUCUUCCUCACUGCCCCAUAUGGUGCCUAGUAGCUGCGGCCUCCACACCUUCAGCCCCCAUGCCCAGCGGGCCCGUCCCAUCUGUCCCCAGAUGCCACUUCUGGCCACCACCUCCCAGGUGGCCCAGGCUAUCCAGGCCCAUCUCCUGGUGGGCCCUGGCGCCGAUUUCCACCAUCAGAUGCUCCGUGCUCUGCCUGCCCCCCUACCUAACUCCCCAUGCAGCCGCACAGCCGCGAUCUGCUGGUGCCCACGCAGCCGAGCGCUUCUUGACAACUAUUAAUCAUACAUUGCACAAGGAACAGUGCCUGAACAAGGGCUAGGCUUUCCACUCUGUCCCAUGUAAAGGACAUGAAAGGUUUUGGCCAUGCAGAAAAGGGACCCAAAUGAGUGGUAAUUAACUCUCAUGACUACAAAGGCUAACAACUUUGGCACUUGCGAAGGGGAUCAGAGGCAGCUGAGCUGAGAAAGAACUGCAGCAGAGCAAGUAUUUGCCUGGGAGCAAACACUGCCAGAGUGCUUAUUUUAGAAUGAAUAGUCAUGUUGGUAAACUAGAGCUAACUAUUGAACAAAUAGCUCACAUUACAGCAUACCGAGGUACACUACUUCCAUCCUUUGAUCCACUGACUGAUGGACUUACUGUAGUGUUCUUUUCUUCAGAAAUUGAAAAAAACAAAACCACCACCAAAACCCACAAUUUAUCCUAUAUAGCCUGCCCUGAUUUUUUUGGUACAGAGUCUUUCCACAAAGUAAUAGGAAUGAGACUUAUAUGAAAAAGGAACCUCAAAAAGCCUUACUCAUUUCAGCAUGAGAUACUUAGACUCAGCGUGAUCAUGUGGUUUGCAAAGAGAAAAUGAGCAAGUACAUUAAAAGUUUUUCAGUAAAUCAACACGUGAUGGUUAACCCGUACUCGUAUCUCAGUCAGGACAUGCAAGCUUUAGUGUCCCUGUAGUUUCUGAUAUUUUAACACUAAGGCAGCCUACAGCAUCAGGAUUUGGCCUGCUGUUCAGCUGUGUGCUAUGUCACCUGCCACACUCCAUGUGCCACUUAAAAUACCAGUGUGGACAAUGAACACGAUUCCUGUGUUUUUUAAGAAACAGGGAAAGAGAGCAGGGUUUUGGGGAGUGUUUUUUAGGACAGUCAAAAUUCACUCUGAAAAUUACAAGUAAAAUGAAUUCUGAUUAACACCAUGAAAGUAACUACAUCUGAUCUGCAAACGCACAUGAAAUGAUGAGUAAAAGUUUCUUUUUUACGUGAACUGCUUUAAACUAAUCAUAAACUUAGGGGAUUUGGCAGGGAUUAAAGAUUCACUUGUCAGCUGCUGUGUCCUUUAAUAAGCUUCUUAACAUCUAUACUGACAGAAGCAGUGUGUCCCCAUUUUAGCAAACCAGGCUGUCUCUGUCCAGGCUUCCUUGCAGCUCCAGGGGCCAGGAAAAAGUGUUAAAUGCUGUGAUUCUUCUGCCCCCUUCAGGGAAAUAAUCUACUAAAUAGAUUUUCUUCAGACCCAGCCUUUGUGGAGCAGACAAUAAAAGUAUUAACUUGGUUUCCGGCAGCUGCAUGUAGCGUGUGGCUCUUCAUGCUCUACUGAGGAGAAAUUCACAUAGCAAAACCUGUGUUGUGCUGUGCUGUGUCCUGUUUUGGUACCUCCUGCCUUGGUUCAAGUCCACAGCAAGCUUCUUCCUGAAGGCUUACUCAGCUCUUUAAGGAUGUCCUCACUUUUUUAAGUAUCUGAGAGUACCAAGGGCUUCCCUGCCACAGCCAGCGCAGCCACAGUCUAACCCUGUCAAACCAUUUUAAUCUCUGUUUUGCACCCUCACUUGUAACACGAAGAUG